rnacentral:rRNA from 1 species
GACGAACGCUGGCGGCGUGCUUAACACAUGCAAGUCGAACGCAGUGGCGAAGGGGGGAGUAAUACGUGGGUAACCUGCCAUCCGUUUUGGGAUAAGCCUUGGAAACGGGGACUAAUACCGACUAAAGGGGGAUGGGUUGGCGGACGAUCAGCUUGUUGGUGGGGUGAUAGCCUACAAAGGCGGCGACGGGUAGCCGGCCUGAGAGGGCGACCGGGACCAGUGGGACGGAGAGACGUCCCAGAGUGUGACGGGAGGGAGCAGUGGGGGAUAUGGGGCAAUGGGUGAAAGCCUGAUGCAGCGGCGCCGCUUGGGGGAUUGAGGCUUUCGGGUUGUAAACCUCUUUCGCUAUCGGACGGGUAGGUGGAGAAGAAGCGCCGGCUAACUACGUGCCAGCAGCCGCGGUAAUAC